GGACUACCCGGGUAUCUAAUCCCAUUCGCUCCCCACGCUCUCGUCCUAGCAGUGUCAGGUGGCACCCAGAAGCCUGCCUACGCUAUUGGUGUUCCGAACGAUAUCAACGCAUUUCACUACUACACCGUUCGUUCCAGCUUCCUCUUUGCCCCUCUAGCUCACAAGUUUCAAAAGACAUUCCCAAGGUUAAGCCUUAGGAUUUCACUUCUGACUUUGUAAGCCACCUAUCGGUACGCUUUACGCCCAAUGAUUCCGGAUAACGCUUGAGGUCUCUGUAUUACCGCGGCGGCUGGCAC
rnacentral:rRNA from 1 species